GGAGGGUGCAAGCGUUAAUCGGAAUUACUGGGCGUAAAGCGCACGCAGGCGGUCAAUUAAGUCAGAUGUGAAAGCCCCGAGCUUAACUUGGGAAUUGCAUCUGAAACUGGUUGGCUAGAGUCUUGUAGAGGGGGGUAGAAUUCCACGUGUAGCGGUGAAAUGCGUAGAGAUGUGGAGGAAUACCGGUGGCGAAGGCGGCCCCCUGGACAAAGACUGACGCUCAGGUGCGAAAGCGUGGGGAGCAAACAGGAUUAGAUACCCUGGUAGUCCACGCUGUAAACGAUGUCGAUUUAGAGGUUGUGGUCUUGAACCGUGGCUUCUGGAGCUAACGCGUUAAAUCGACCGCCUGGGGAGUACGGCCGCAAGGUUA
rnacentral:rRNA from 1 species